rnacentral:rRNA from 1 species
UACGAAGGGGGCUAGCGUUGCUCGGAUUGACUGGGCGUAAAGGGCGCGUAGGCGGUUCGGACAGUCAGACGGGAAAUUCCUGGGCUCAACCUGGGGGCUGCGUUUGAUACGUGCGGACUUGAGUGCGGAAGAGGGUCGUGGAAUUCCCAGUGUAGAGGUGAAAUUCGUAGAUAUUGGGAAGAACACCGGUGGCGAAGGCGGCGACCUGGUCCGAUACUGACGCUGAGGCGCGAAAGCGUGGGGAGCAAACAGG